rnacentral:rRNA from 1 species
AGAGUUUGAUCCUGGCUCAGGAUGAACGCUGGCGGCGUGCCUAAUACAUGCAAGUCGAGCGAACAGAUAAGGAGCUUGCUCCUUUGACGUUAGCGGCGGACGGGUGAGUAACACGUGGGUAACCUACCUAUAAGACUGGAAUAACUCCGGGAAACCGGGGCUAAUGCCGGAUAAUAUUUAGAACCGCAUGGUUCUAAAGUGAAAGAUGGUUUUGCUAUCACUUAUAGAUGGACCCGCGCCGUAUUAGCUAGUUGGUGGGGUAAUGGCUUACCAAGGCAACGAUACGUAGCCGACCUGAGAGGGUGAUCGGCCACACUGGAACUGAGACACGGUCCAGACUCCUACGGGAGGCAGCAGUAGGGAAUCUUCCGCAAUGGGCGAAAGCCUGACGGAGCAACGCCGCGUGAGUGAUGAAGGUCUUCGGAUCGUAAAACUCUGUUAUUAGGGAAGAACAAAUGUGUAAGUAACUGUGCACGUCUUGACGGUACCUAAUCAGAAAGCCACGGCCAACUACGUG